CUACUUGAUUGACAGUCCGGUCUGGAAUAUUUGACAGGUCCCAUGGAGGAGCCAUAGACUGUAUAUAAAGAUCAACAGUCUACGGAGGAGGUAGCAGAGACUCUGUUAUCCUCGUUUGGAUUAAUUCUGAUAUAAUAACUGUUGGUUUAUUUAUCGGUGGAGCAGCAGAACCUUUUCCACAGACAGUUUUUCUUCCUGUCGGCUUGUUUUAACCAGUUUUCUACCUUCGGCUGAUUCUACCAGCAGACACUGAAAGGACUCUGAUUGGUCGGUGUCUCUUGUUCACUGUGAGGAUGUUCUGAGGGAAGCCAACAGAAGGAAAACCUCAUCUGGUUGUGAAGAAGGAGACUGAAUGGACGACAUCCUCAAUGAACCACUUCCUGUUUAGCUUUCACUUACAGAAGGACAGACCAACUGUUUCAGCAGUUUAUUAUUCUCUGUUCAGCAGACGGGUGCUCUGCUUUGGAGUGUGACGAUGUCGUCGGUGAUGUGGAGAGUGAAGUUUCUGUUUUACCCACAGCGUGCUUUAGGACACCCGAGUCGGAUAUGAUGUUUCAAAUUCUGACUGACAAUUCAGAUUUAACUGUCUGCAGUUCCGUUUUUAUCGAUGUUAAAUUUUCACUCAAAGCAGCCAGGAGCUGGGUCUUUAAAAUAACCUCCGUCUCGUUACAGAGUGAAAGUAGCAGUUCCUCCUUAAGGUCAGAGAUUACAGCAUCUGAGGGCCUCUUCAAAAGAAGACGUAGUUGAUGAAGGCGUUCUGGAGCAGGACCAGAAAGACCAGGACCAAGCAGCCUGGAGAUCUUAGGCAGUGUCUCCCUCAGUUCAAAGGUUCCUCUCUGUCUCCCCACACAUCCACCAACCACUGGAACACAUCUCCAAAGUUCUGCUGAAACUCAGCUUCCCCUCAGAAUAAGUGCAGCCAGAUGAAGGAGCCUUUGAGAGGCAGCUGGCAUCGUGACUGGACGGUACUUUGGUCUGAUCCAAUCCAGCUUCAGCUCCAGAGAUGGCAGGCGGGACGAGUCAACGGAGGCCGGGUGGGCGAAGGCAUGGAGCUGAGUACAAUCCAGAAAACAACAGAGGAGGAAACAAACGUAGUAUAGUAUAAAAUAUGUAUAGUAUAUUGUAUAAAUAACAAGUCAAAGGAAAGAGACAUACUCUGUAGAAUUGUAGUAACUGUGGGCUGACUGAUUUACUGAUUAUCAGUAUUUUAGUUUUUACUGAUUUACAGUAAUAAAUCCAUUUAAAAAUG